GACGAACGCUGGCGGCGUGCUUAACACAUGCAAGUCGAACGGAAAGGCCCUGCUUUUGUGGGGUGCUCGAGUGGCGAACGGGUGAGUAACACGUGAGUAACCUGCUCUUGACUUUGGGAUAACUUCAGGAAACUGGGGCUAAUACCGGAUAGGAGCUCCUGCUGCAUGGUGGGGGUUGGAAAGUUUCGGCGGUUGGGGAUGGACUCGCGGCUUAUCAGCUUGUUGGUGGGGUAGUGGCUUACCAAGGCUUUGACGGGUAGCCGGCCUGAGAGGGUGACCGGCGACAUUGGGACUGAGGUACGGCCCAGACGCCUACGGGAGGCAGCAGUGGGGAGUAUUGCGCAAUGGGCGGAAGCCUGAUGCAGCAACGCCGCGUGCGGGAUGACGGCCUUCGGGUUGUAAACCGCUUUCGCCUGUGACGAAGGGUGAGUGACGGUAAUGGGUAAAGAAGCACCGGCUAACUACGUG
rnacentral:rRNA from 1 species